CUCAAGACCGACCUUGAACCAAAUUUGUGUUUUAUAAAACGAUCUCGAGACACGACGCUGUCUUGGGAAGUGCAAAAUGACAGCCGAAUCUCAAGUCAUCGAUCGACCUUCCUCAAGACCGCGAUUCUAACCUAACUUUGUUUGUUAUUGUUUGAAUUUUGAAUAUUUUUAAUUCAGUUCCAACAUAUAUUUUUUGUUUUUCUAAUUACAAUAAAAAUGUAUGAAGAAGUAAAAGCAUUUUUAGAGUUUAUUGAUAAUAUUGGAGAAGAAAAUCGCCCGGGAAGUAUACAAAAGCGAUAUAUUCAAGAUAAAAAUAUAAUCUAAAAUACAAUGGAGUAUUACAAUAUUGAAGUUCAUCAGCGAAUCAGCGCAUUAACUUAAACAACAAAGGUUUUAUGCUACUUAUAGGAAUAUAACCAGUUUUUAUGAGGAAGCCCACUUUCCAAAAAUGUGCAGGUACUAGAAGAGAAAUUACUGUUCAACUGAGAAUUAUGUAUAUUACUGUUCAACAACAAGUUUAUCAAGUCAUUCAAUAUUUGAUCUAAGAGCAUUAAGAGUGAAAUUGUGAAAUGGAAAGAAGUGAAAUUCCAGGAUUAUUAAUAGGAAUAGAUGACAGUAGUGGGUAUGCAUGCAGACACUAUCUACUUACCCCAGUAUUACAGCCAGGUAAUGAUCAAGAAAAUAAGAUAUUUUUACCAUAGUACUCAUGUGAGAACAAGAAAUGUAGAAAAGCUAUUUGGAACCUGGAAAAGAGAGUUUCCUUUCUUCAACAAGGUCUACAAAUCAAAUUAUAUACAUGUCUUGCAAUAAUAUGUGCUACAGCAGUACCUUACAAUCUAGGUAAAUAAUGAUCUGGUGGUAAAUAGACAUGUUAAUGAUGUGGAACAAUCUCUAAAUUUUUGGUGACAUUUUUUUCAACAAUAUUUUGCAUGAGAAUACAUUAUUGAAUACCUA